GACGAACGCUGGCGGCGUGCCUAAUACAUGCAAGUCGAACGCUGAAGGAGGAGCUUGCUUCUCCGGAUGAGUUGCGAACGGGUGAGUAACGCGUAGGUAACCUGCCUGGUAGCGGGGGAUAACUAUUGGAAACGAUAGCUAAUACCGCAUAACAGUAGAUGUUGCAUGACAUUUGCUUAAAAGGUGCAAUUGCAUCACUACCAGAUGGACCUGCGUUGUAUUAGCUAGUUGGUGAGGUAACGGCUCACCAAGGCGACGAUACAUAGCCGACCUGAGAGGGUGAUCGGCCACACUGGGACUGAGACACGGCCCAGACUCCUACGGGAGGCAGCAGUAGGGAAUCUUCGGCAAUGGACGGAAGUCUGACCGAGCAACGCCGCGUGAGUGAAGAAGGUUUUCGGAUCGUAAAGCUCUGUUGUAAGAGAAGAACGAGUGUGAGAGUGGAAAGUUCACACUGUGACGGUAGCUUACCAGAAAGGGACGGCUAACUACGUG
rnacentral:rRNA from 1 species